AGAGUUUGAUUCUGGCUCAGGACGAACGCUGGCGGCGUGCUUAACACAUGCAAGUCGAGCGAGGAUCUCACCGGAAGGCCUUCGGGCCGGAAGGUAAGAUCGAGCGGCGGACGGGUGAGUAACGCGUGAGCGAUCUGUCCCGCACAGGGGGAUAACACUUGGAAACAGGUGCUAAUACCGCAUAAGACCACGAGGCCGCAUGGCCAUGGGGGUAAAAGGAGCGAUCCGGUGCAGGGUGAGCUCGCGUCCGAUUAGCUAGUUGGUGAGGUAACGGCCCACCAAGGCGACGAUCGGUAGCCGACCUGAGAGGGUGAUCGGCCACAUUGGAACUGAGACACGGUCCAAACUCCUACGGGAGGCAGCAGUGGGGAAUAUUGGGCAAUUGGGCGAAAGCCUGACCCAGCAACGCCGCGUGAGUGAAGAAGGUUUUCGGAUUGUAAAGCUCUAUCCUCGGGGACGAAGGAAGUGACGGUACCCGGGAAGGAAGCCCCGGCUAACUACGUGCCAGCCGCGGC
rnacentral:rRNA from 1 species